UGCUGUCCGCCAUUACCUCGCUUCGCAAGCAAAGGACCAUCUUCAUGUGCGAGUCUGCGAGAAAACUCAAUUAAACAAGGUGCCCUCUUUCUGGAAUCAUUAACCUCUGCAGAAUUUGGUUGUCCAGAGGGAUGAAGCUGAAACAGAGCUUGCAAGUUCCACAAUGGCUGUGUUCGUCAUCAGGGAAGAGGGUGAUUCUCUCCAACCACCACAUGACAUUGGUAUAGUCAUUGAAGGUGUGAAAGUCCUGAACAGGUUGCCAUCAGUCGCACAUGCAUGUGCCAUGUUAUUUGGCCUAAUUUAUGUGCUGAACUUGAGCUAUCCAGGUGAGCUGGAACACACCUUUGAUGCACUACAAAAGUUAUUUAUGGAUAUUUAACCAAAGAAAAUGAAGCGCAAAGUUCUCAGCCUCAGUGUUAAGCUGUGAAAGUAAAGUAGCAAAGAGAAAUACAUUUAAAUACGUUGUAUUUGGUUCUGUUUUAGAGCUUGUACUCAAAUACAUUGCAGGUUAAUGAAUUACUGUUCAAUGAAAAACACUUUAAACUGAUGUUAAACUCAAUUUAUUGUGAAGUUUUGUGGUAUAGAUAUUUGGGCACAUCGUUAACAUAUUAACUUUUAAACCGUUUUACAGUUAUUAAAGGCUAUUGCAUUACAUUUCUCAGGUUUUACAUAUUUUACUGUUUCAUUGAUUGGUAAUGUGCUCAAUAUUGAUGUGGGACUCUUAAGCACUUGUUUUUUAUUUUAUUUUUUGUUAAUCUAGCCAAGUUUGUACAGUGUAGAAACUGUAUUGCACUUAAUUGCUGUUACAAAAAAAGGUCAAAGCAUAUUUACUGUC